CUCCUCCUUGCUUAGCCGCUUAUCCUUGCAGGCUGCAGUGGCAGCAAUUUUAUUUGAAUUUUUUUUUCCUUAAAAACAGGUGUACUCAUAGCCGUUCCUAAAUGAACGCUUUAUUUUGUGAAGUCGAAAGAGAUGUUUUAGUAAAGCUUAACAAACUGACCAUGUUAUGGACAGUGAAACUGAUCAAGAGAAUACUGGACAUACCAGUUCAGUGAUACCUGAUGAUCAGAUGCCAUUCAUCCUGUGACAGUUCUCUCAAACCAGGUUGAUAGCAAGGUUGAUAGCCAAAUAGUCUAAGAGAACCAUGCCAGUUCAGUGAUCUCUGCUGCUGUUCUCUCAAACCAAGUUGAUAGUCAAAUAGAAGAAGAG
rnacentral:lncRNA from 1 species